UACGUAGGUGGCAAGCGUUGUCCGGGUUUAUUGGGUUUAAAGGGUGCGUAGGCGGCCUUAUAAGUCAGUGCUGAAAUAUCCCGGCUUAACCGGGAGGGUGGCAUUGAUACUGUAGGGCUUGAGUGUAGUCGAGGUAGGCGGAAUUGACGGUGUAGCGGUGAAAUGCUUAGAUAUCGUCAAGAACACCGAUAGUGUAGACAGCUUACUAGGCUACAACUGACGCUGAGGCACGAAAGUGUGGGGAUCAAACAGG
rnacentral:rRNA from 1 species